rnacentral:rRNA from 1 species
GGCUCAUCACAUCCUGGGGCUGUAGCCGGUCCCAAGGGUAUGGCUGUUCGCCAUUUAAAGUGGUACGCGAGCUGGGUUUAGAACGUCGUGAGACAGUUUGGUCCCUAUCUGGUGUGGGCGUUAGAAACUUGAGAGGAGCUGCUCCUAGUACGAGAGGACCGGAGUGGACGUACCUCUGGUGUUCCAGUUGUCAUGCCAAUGGCAUUGCUGGGUAGCUAUGUACGGACGGGAUAACCGCUGAAAGCAUCUAAGCGGGAAGCCCCCCUCAAGAUUAGGUUUCUCUGGACCUUUAAGGUCCCUAAAGGGUCGUUGUAGACUACAACGUUGAUAGGCGAGGUGUGGAAGCGCAGCAAUGCGUUAAGCUAACUCGUACUAAUUGCCCGUGAGGCUUGAUCAUAUAACACCCAAGAAG